rnacentral:tRNA from 1 species
GUUCAGGUAGCUCAGCUGGUUAGAGCAAAGGAUUGAAAAUCCUUGUGUUAGUGGUUCGAAUCCACAUCUAAGCG